UAGGCUGACGGUGCAGCUGGUUCGUCCUGCCCGCCAGGCAGGCACGUCGAAAGAGGGAACCCGGUGGGAAUCCGGGACUGCCCCGCAGCGGUGAGUGGGAACGACCGCCGUCAUACGCACUGGUCUUGUAGGGGGCCGGGAAGCGACGGCCAGUAGGCGUCCGCCUUCGAACGCGGACGGGCCCACGAGUCCGAAGACCUGCCUGCUGCCCGCGCGCGAC
rnacentral:ncRNA from 2 species